CUGGGCUACGGGGACAUGUACCCCGAAACGUGGUCGGGGAUGCUGGUGGGCGCGCUGUGCGCCCUGGCAGGGGUGCUGACCAUCGCCAUGCCUGUGCCCGUCAUCGUCAACAAC
rfam:Salmo salar isolate Sally breed double haploid chromosome ssa19, whole genome shotgun sequence.